GACGGAGGAUGCAAGCGUUAUCCGGAAUGAUUGGGCGUAAAGCGUCUGCAGGUGGCAGUUCAAGUCUGCUGUCAAAGACCGGGGCUUAACUUCGGAAAGGCAGUGGAAACUGAACAGCUAGAGUAUGGUAGGGGCAGAGGGAAUUCCUGGUGUAGUGGUGAAAUGCGUAGAGAUCAGGAAGAACAUCGGUGGCGAAGGCGCUCUGCUGGACCAUAACUGACACUCAGGGACGAAAGCUAGGGGAGCGAAUGGG
rnacentral:rRNA from 1 species